rnacentral:rRNA from 1 species
UACAGAGGAGCCAAGCGUUGUCCGGAUUGACUGGGCGUAAAGCGCACGUAGGCGGCCUAGCAAGUCGGGUGUGAAAUCCCUCGGCUUAACCGAGGAAGUGCAUUCGAAACUACUAGGCUUGAAUACUCAAGAGGGUCUCGGAAUUCCCGGUGUAGAGGUGAAAUUCGUAGAUAUCGGGAGGAACACCAGUGGCGAAGGCGGAGACCUGGGGAGAUAUUGACGCUGAGGUGCGAAAGCGUGGGGAG